rnacentral:lncRNA from 1 species
UCUCUCUCACCAAGGACUUUGCUCUAAUAAAAGUCUGCACUUCUCUAAUAGGUCCUAUCUGUAUUCACAGACAUCCAAAUAUAGCAGCAGGGGACAACUGGAAGCAGAGUGAACUGCAGAUGUCACCAUCAGGGAAUUCUUAAGUGCUAGGCACUCUGUUGAGCCCAAGAAGAAAUGAAAGAGUUAGCCUUUAUCAUCAAGGAGCU